CGCAGAUGGGCACCACAACUUGCGAAGCUCCUGAGAUGAACAUGUGUCGCUUUCAAAACGAGCUUUCUCCCCCCACCUCCCCAAGGCAGGAAGAGGGUGACUCACUCAAUCUCUCUCUUUUCUUCCUUCCCUCCCUCUCUAGCCUCAGAUGCCUGGGUGUGCUGGGGUGCAGCAAGUGGAGGGACCCACGUUCUCGGCAGAAUACAGCAGAAAGAAAAGCCGUUGGAGAACUGGUGAAGUACCAUGAUUAAUUCUGGAAAGUCAGUGGGCCAAGGACCAGCCCUUCCGACUGAGCUGCCGAAAAGAAAGCGAGGGCGGCCUAGAAAGCAGCCACAGGAGUCUGCUGGGCCAUUGCCACCGAAGAAACCACGUGGAAGGCCAAAAGGAAGCAAGAAGUUGAAUACUGGUAGUGGACAGAUGGUGCACACCAUGGCUGAAAAAAAGCCCAGGGGAAGACCACGGAAAUGGCUUAUUGUCCAGGAGGAUGCAUAUCAAAAAGCUGGUACUGAAGGGAGAAUCAACCCAAGUUCUGCUACUGCAUGCCCUACCACUGAAGGCAGACAGUGACAUCAGCACCGCCACAGACUCCUUUGUGAUGGCCUCGCUUCCUGCCCAGAGCUCUGUCAAAUCUGUAUCUUCUGUAGAGACUUCAUGCCACUUGAAACAACAGCUACCGCCUGUUGCGCUUCCGCCUUCUGCUCAAAUAACCACACUUAUACCUGCCUGCCUGCCCUCCUACAGCAUCCUAUCCUGUGCCACCCAAUAAGAAAGGUGAAAGAUUAAAGCAGUGAUGUACAUCUUCUGGAAAAGGCUGUCCCAGAACCAAACGAGUGAUCGAAUCCAAGAGACCACUGACCACCUCCCCAGCCAUGGCUCAGCAAGAGCCUGCUUGUUGAUGUGUUGAUGUGUUGCUGCAAUAAAAGUUUCUUAAACCCUC